ACAGAUAGCACCUUGUCGGUCGCAUCUUUUGUCCUUCUUGAAGUCGCCUUUAAACCGUUUGGUUGCUUGAGUCGAGCUGCGCUAAGGGAGUCGUUGGGACAUUAAAGGAACAAAUUAGGAGUGGGACUCGAGGCUCCUGGGAGGCCUGUGGUGGCAUUGCAUCACUGAUAAGCAGACAGUCAUUCAGCUCAGGCCUGUGAUAACGUGCCAGAGCCCAGGAUUUCAACAGCAGCCUGAAACCCUGGAGCCACAGAGCAGGACAGGCCCAGUCUCGCUCAGACUCCGACUCCAACUCAAGAAAAGGGGAGAGGCCGUCAUCCAGUUGCAGCUGCAUUCAAACGCCACCCCCCUCAACCUCGGAGGCUUCCUCAUAAAUCACACCGUCUCAGUCGAGACGCACUCUGCACCAGGUGCCACGCUGCCUCCAUUCUGUGCCUUAAUAGUAAAGCUUAAGGCUCUCCUUAAUGUAACUUUCACUCAGUGGUCCUACAAAGAAUGUACACACUGUGGGUUUUAAUUUUUUUUGGGGGGGAAGAGGAAAUCUGACUUUAAAUGUAUACAAAGCUGUGUAUUUGUUGGUCAUGUGAAUUGUACAUGUGUGUCUUUAACCUCAGGCAUCAACUGCAAGAAUAUUCCAUGUGUUCUAUCCUUCAUUCCACCGGAGUCUGUAUCCACUGUCAGCCAGAUUUCAGUGGUGUGAAGUGUAUGAGACAUGGGGAUAUGGCUACACACGCUACACGCCGCUUUACGCACAUAAUAAGUCAACCUUGUAUAUUCCUCUCACACAGCAUCCUAUUGUAUAUCCGUGCUUAUGUGCGUUUUUUUCUUGUGAUCUAUAGAAAAAAAAAACGAUUUGUAUCUGUAAGGACAUGCUGUGAUGUGAAUAAAUAUUGUGACCUUGUGAAUAAAUAUUGUGACCUUGUG